rnacentral:rRNA from 1 species
GAUGAACGCUGGCGGCGUGCCUAAUACAUGCAAGUCGAGCGAACAGAUAAGGAGCUUGCUCCUUUGACGUUAGCGGCGGACGGGUGAGUAACACGUGGGUAACCUACCUAUAAGACUGGAAUAACUCCGGGAAACCGGGGCUAAUGCCGGAUAACAUUUAGAACCGCAUGGUUCUAAAGUGAAAGAUGGUUUUACUAUCACUUAUAGAUGGACCCGCGCCGUAUUAGCUAGUUGGUAAGGUAACGGCUUACCAAGGCAACGAUACGUAGCCGACCUGAGAGGGUGAUCGGCCACACUGGAACUGAGACACGGUCCAGACUCCUACGGGAGGCAGCAGUAGGGAAUCUUCCGCAAAGGGCGAAAGCCUGACGGAGCAACGCCGCGUGAGUGAUGAAGGUCUUCGGAUCGUAAAACUCUGUUAUUAGGGAAGAACAAAUGUGUAAGUAACUGUGCACGUCUUGACGGUACCUAAUCAGAAAGCCACGGCUAACUACGUG